AGUGAACGCUGGCGGUAGGCCUAACACAUGCAAGUCGAACGGCAGCACAGUAAGAGCUUGCUCUUACGGGUGGCGAGUGGCGGACGGGUGAGGAAUACAUCGGAAUCUACUUUUUCGUGGGGGAUAACGUAGGGAAACUUACGCUAAUACCGCAUACGACCUACGGGUGAAAGCAGGGGAUCUUCGGACCUUGCGCGAUUGAAUGAGCCGAUGUCGGAUUAGCUAGUUGGCGGGGUAAAGGCCCACCAAGGCGACGAUCCGUAGCUGGUCUGAGAGGAUGGUCAGCCACACUGGAACUGAGACACGGUCCAGACUCCUACGGGAGGCAGCAGUGGGGAAUAUUGGACAAUGGGCGCAAGCCUGGUCCAGCCAUACCGCGUGGGUGAAGAAGACCUUCGGGUUGUAAAGCCCUUUUGUUGGGAAAGAAAAGCAGCAGGUUAAUACCCCGCUGUUCUGACGGUACCCAAAGAAUAAGCACCGGCUAACUUCGUG
rnacentral:rRNA from 1 species